UACGGAGGGUGCAGGCGUUAAUCGGAAUUACUGGGCGUAAAGGGCGCGUAGGUGGUUCGAUAAGUUAUCUGUGAAAGCCCUGGGCUCAACCUGGGAAGGCCAGAUAAGACUGUUUGACUCGAGUAUAGGAGAGGGUAGUGGAAUUUCCGGUGUAGCGGUGAAAUGCGUAGAGAUCGGAAGGAACACCAGUGGCGAAGGCGGCUACCUGGCCUGAUACUGACACUGAGGCACGAAAGCGUGGGGAGCAAACAGG
rnacentral:rRNA from 1 species